UACGGAGGAGGCAAGCGUUAUCCGGAAUUAUUGGGCGUAAAGCGUCCGCAGGUGGCACUUCAAGUCUGUCGUCAAAGACUGGGGCUUAACCCUGGAAAGGCGGCGGAAACUGAAGCGCUAGAGUGUGGUAGGGGUAGAGGGAAUUCCCGGUGUAGCGGUGAAAUGCGUAGAGAUCGGGAAGAACAUCGGUGGCGAAGGCGCUCUACUGGACCACAACUGACACUCAGGGACGAAAGCUAGGGGAGCGAAUGGG
rnacentral:rRNA from 1 species